CGUCUGUCACAGGUCCGUGACGUCACAGAUGAUCGAAACAACGCCGUAACGUCUGUCACAGGUCCGUGACGUCACAGAUGAUGGAAACAACGCCGUAAAGUCUGUCACAGGUCCGUGACGUCACAGAUGAUCGAAACAAGGCCGUAACUUCUGUCACAAGACCGUGACGUCAUAGAUGAUCGAAACAACGCUGUAACGUCUCUCAGAGAUCUGUGACGUCACAGAUGAUAGAAAAACAACGCCGUAACUCCUGUCACAGGUCCGUGACGUCACAGAUGAUCGAAACAAGGCCGUAACUUCUGUAACAGGUCCGUGACGUCACAGAUGAUAGAAAAACAACGCCGUAACGUCUCUAAUAGAUCUGUGACGUCACAGAUGAUAUAAACAACGCCGUAACUUCUGUCACAGGUCCGUGACGUCACAGAUGAUAGAAACAACGCCGUAAUUUCUGUCACAGGUCCGUGACGUCACAGAUGAUAGAAAAACAACGCCGUAACGUCUCUAAUAGAUCUGUGACGUCACAGAUGAUAGAAAAAACGCCGUAAUUUCUGUCACAGGUCCGUGACGUCACAGAUGAUAGAAAAACAACGCCGUAACGUCUCUAAUAGAUCUGUGACGUCACAGAUGAUAGAAACAACGCCGUAAUUUCUGUCACAGGUCCGUGACGUCACAGAUGAUAGAAAAACAACGCCGUAACGUCUCUAAUAGAUCUGUGACGUCACAGAUGAUAGAAACAACGCCGUAAUUUCUGUCACAGGUCCGUGACGUCACAGAUGAUAGAAACAACGCCGUAAUUUCUGUCACAGGUCCGUGACGUCACAGAUGAUAGAAACAACGCCGUAACUUCUGUCACAGGUCCGUGACGUCACAGAUGAUAGAAAAACAACGCCGUAACGUCUCUAAUAGAUCGGUGACGUCACAGAUGAUAGAAACAACGCCGUAAUUUCUUUCACAGGUCCGUGACGUCACAGAUGGUCGAAACAACGCCGUAAUUUCUGUCACAGGUCCGUGACGUCACAGAUGAUAGAAACAACGCCGUAAUUUCUGUCACAGGUCCGUGACGUCACAGAUGAUAGAAAAACAACGCCGUAACGGCUCUAAUAGAUCUGUGACGUCACAGAUGAGAGAAACAACGCCGUAAUUUCUGUCACAGGUCCGUGACGUCACAGAUGAUGGAAACAACGCCGUAAUUUCUGUCACAGGUCCCUGACGUCACAGAUGAUAGAAACAACGCCGUAAUUUCUGUCACAGGUCCGUGACGUCACAGAUGAUAGAAAAACAACGCCGUAACGGCUCUAAUAGAUCUGUGACGUCACAGAUGAGAGAAACAACGCCGUAAUUUCUGUCACAGGUCCGUGACGUCACAGAUGAUGGAAACAACGCCGUAAUUUC